GAUCCUUUUUCACGAAGAUACUGUUUUACAUUUUUUUUGUGCAAUUUCAUACUCUAUUUUCUUCGUCUUCAAAUAACUUUUGAGGUGGUCCCCUGUACACCCGGGUGUACCAUACACCGAGAUUGUAUCCGACCCAGAUCCUAACUCAGUUGAGCUAUCCUGAUUCAUUUUUUCUUGAAAUGACAUUAACACUAACAUGAAAUG
rnacentral:lncRNA from 1 species